rnacentral:tRNA from 1 species
UUGGUAGAAGCUUUCAGCAUUUUACUGUUGAUAAAAAGAAGAAUAAUAUCCUAUCAAU